GGGAAAGGGAGGUGCCAAGAGGCACAGGAAGGUGCUCCGGGAUAACAUUCAAGGCAUCACCAAGCCUGCCAUUCGGCGACUGGCUAGGCGUGGUGGAGUCAAACGCAUCAGCGGUCUCAUCUACGAGGAGACAAGAGGCGUCCUCAAGAUCUUUCUCGAGAAUGUCAUUCGGGACGCCGUUACCUACACCGAACAUGCUCGUCGCAAGACCGUUACUGCCAUGGAUGUUGUAUAUGCCUUGAAGAGGCAGGGGAGGACUCUCUAUGGUUUUGGUGGUUAAAGAUUUGGGAUUAGGGUUAGGGUUGAGUUUUGUUUGCACUAGUGGAAAACGAUGUUAAAAUUUAAUGACCAAAUGGGUUAUGUGUGAAAUGACUAAAUGGGCUUCAUGUUAUACUAUUACACUGGUUUUCAUGCGAACUGUUUAUCCAAUAGCUCUAACAAUUAGUGCGUUAAGGAGUAUACUUACAUAUGUAGUUGAGCUGCAAGAUGGUUUAUUGAUUGCUUAAAAGAAUUAUAAAAUAUUUUUUAAGACAAUUUU
rnacentral:misc_RNA from 1 species